AACGCAACUUGCGCCCUAUUAGGGCAUGUCUGUUUGAGUACCGCAACCUCUUAUGCAGCAAUGCGAAUUGAUCAUGGCGUUGGGCCUUGAUUUAAAGAGAGUAUGUGGUAUCGAGCUAGAGCUCGGACACUAUGUGCUAGAGACGCAAGUCUUCUCAUAGAGUUCCUGCCUAAUGCUAGAUAAAAUUAACCUUUUAUUUGGUCUCAAAUCAGGCAAGACUACCCGCUGAACUUAA
rnacentral:misc_RNA from 1 species